rnacentral:rRNA from 1 species
UACGAAGGGUGCAAGCGUUACUCGGAAUUACUGGGCGUAAAGCGUGCGUAGGUGGUUCGUUAAGUCCGAUGUGAAAGCCCCGGGCUUAACCUGGGAAUGGCAUUGGAAACUGGCGAGCUUGAGUGCGGCAGAGGGGGGUGGAAUUCCACGUGUAGCAGUGGAAAUGCGUAGAGGAUGAUGGAGGAACACCGAUGGCGAAGGCAGCCCCUGGGCUAACACUGACGCUCAUGCACGAAAGCGUGGGGAGCAAACAGG